UACGAAGGGGGCUAGCGUUGCUCGGAAUUACUGGGCGUAAAGCGCACGUAGGCGGCUUUCUAAGUCAGGGGUGAAAUCCUGGAGCUCAACUCCAGAACUGCCUUUGAUACUGAGGAUCUUGAGUUCGGGAGAGGUGAGUGGAACUGCGAGUGUAGAGGUGAAAUUCGUAGAUAUUCGCAAGAACACCAGUGGCGAAGGCGGCUCACUGGCCCGAUACUGACGCUGAGGCACGAAAGCGUGGGGGAGCAAACAGG
rnacentral:rRNA from 1 species